CUAGAGAGACUGCCGGUGAUAAACCGGAGGAAGGUGGGGAUGACGUCAAAUCAUCAUGCCCCUUAUGGCCUGGGCUACAAACGUAAUACAAUGGCGUAUACAAAGGGAUGCGAAAGGGCGACCUGGAGCAAAACUCACAAAGUAACGUCUCAGUUCAGAUUGGAGUCUGCAACUCGACUCCAUGAAGGCGGAAUCGCUAGUAAUCGCGGAUCAGCAUGCCGGCGGUGAAUUACCGGUUCUCGGGGUUU
rnacentral:rRNA from 1 species